rnacentral:rRNA from 1 species
GACAGAGGUCGCAAGCGUUGAUCGGAUUCAUUGGGCGUAAAGGGUGCGUAGGUGGUUGGGUAAGUCAAAUGUGAAAUCCCGGAGCUCAACUCCGGAACUGCAUUCGAUACUGCCCGGCUCGAGGAUUGGAGAGGAGACUGGAAUUCACGGUGUAGCAGUGAAAUGCGUAGAGAUCGUGAGGAACACCCGUGGCGAAGGCGGGUCUCUGGACAAUUCCUGACGCUGAGGCACGAAGGCCAGGGGAGCCAACGGG